UACGUAGGGUGCGAGCGUUGUCCGGAAUUAUUGGGCGUAAAGAGCUCGUAGGCGGUCUGUCGCGUCGGUCGUGAAAACUUGGGGCUUAACCCUGAGCUUGCGGUCGAUACGGGCAUGACUGGAGUUCGGCAGGGGAGACUGGAAUUCCUGGUGUAGCGGUGAAAUGCGCAGAUAUCAGGAGGAACACCGGCGGUGUAGACGGCUUGCUAGACCAUAACUGACGCUGAGGCACGAAAGCGUGGGUAGCAAACAGG
rnacentral:rRNA from 1 species